rnacentral:rRNA from 1 species
CUUAAAUGAAUUGACGGGACCGCACAAGCAGCGGAGCGUGUGGUUUAAUUCGUUGCUACACGAAGAACCUUACCUGGGUUUGACAUAUAAGUUGUAGGGAACUGAAAAGGACCGACCUUCGGGAGCUUAUACAGGUGUUGCAUGGCUGUCGUCAGCUCGUGUCGUGAGAUGUUCGGUUAAGUCCGCUAACGAGCGCAACCCUCGCCGUAUGUUACAAGUGUCAUACGGGACUGCCGGUAAAAAGCCGGAGGAAGGUGAGGAUGAUGUCAAGUCAGCAUGGCCUUUAUGUCCUGGGCUACACACACGCUACAAUGGCCAGCACAGUAGGUUGCGAAACCGCGAGGUGGAGCCAAUCCCUAAAGUUGGCCUCAGUUCAGAUUGUAGGCUGCAACCCGCCUGCAUGAAGAUGGAGUUGCUAGUAAACGCAGGUCAGCUACACUGCGUUGAAUACGUUCCCGGAGAUU